UUCUUUUAGGCAGCAAUUAUACAAAAAUUGGACCUAUACAGAGAAGAUUAGCAUGGCCCCUGCAUAAGGAUGACAUGCAAAUUCAUAAAUCAUUUUAUAUUUUU